UGGGGAAUCUUGGACAAUGGGCGCAAGCCUGAUCCAGCCAUGCCGCGUGAGUGAUGAAGGCCUUAGGGUUGUAAAGCUCUUUUGCCGGGGACGAUAAUGACGGUACCCGGAGAAUAAGUCCCGGCUAACUUCGUGCCAGCAGCCGCGGUAAUACGAAGGGGACUAGCGUUGUUCGGAAUCACUGGGCGUAAAGCGCACGUAGGCGGAUUUGUAAGUCAGGGGUGAAAUCCCGGGGCUCAACCUCGGAACUGCCUUUGAUACUGCGGAUCUCGAGUCCGAUAGAGGUGAGUGGAAUUCCUAGUGUAGAGGUGAAAUUCGUAGAUAUUAGGAAGAACACCGGUGGCGAAGGCGGCUCACUGGAUCGGUACUGACGCUGAGGUGCGAAAGCGUGGAGAGCAAACAGGAUUAGAUACCCUAGUAGUCCCUGAGCGGGCUGGCAAGGCGCAU
rnacentral:rRNA from 1 species